CUGAAGCUUUUUGAUAACACAGGUCUGCUCUCCCAAGGUACUCAAACUGUUUGGAGAAGGAAGCAGCCUUAGUCUUUUUGUGCAUUUCCAAACCACACUGGAAGCUUUCUGAGGUUUAUGCAUCGUCGUGUAUAAAUUAUAAGAACAUAAGGAGAAUUGUGGGAAGGCUUUGGAAGAUGGUCAUCACUAAUCCGCACUGCAGAGUGAAUGGCUUCGUGCCCUAUUUGGAAGCCACAAGGUUCUAUCCUACACCACCUGCCAGAUCUCCCAACUCAAGCUAAUGGCAUCUCCAUGCCAGGAUUCUCGUCGUUGGAGCCCUUCCUAGCACAGCUUAUUCAGUGCAUGGUGGAGUCCAGGCCCACACUCUGAGCCACGGAGCAGCUUUGUAGUACUGGGCUCUUUUCAUCUGGAGUUAUGCUCGUUGGUUUGUCAUAAUAUAAACACAGUGGGUGCUCCCUUAGGGCUCUCAUCUGGGCCCAAUGCUGCUUUCGUUAGACACAUUAGUGCUCUCUCAGCUUUUUCUCACGUUGCAUUAUCAACUGUUUUCAUUGUGAUCUUGAUGACAGAUAUUAUGAAGGAUCCACCCUUUCAGGAUUUAAAAAUUUGGGACUCUCUAAUUAAGAAAAACAGUGCUUGUACCUUCUAGCUAAAGAAGAGACCUCAGUACUGCGGUAUUCUGUUUCCAAACUCUGGCCGUAGAGAGAAAACCUGCUGGAACCCUGAUUUCUCCUGCUUGACCAGCAGGCUCCUCAGUCCCCAAGGUUUCUGUGCCACCAUCAGUAUACCUCAAAAGUGGUAAUAUGGAUAUCUUAACAUUGUUCAAAAGCAAGAUCUGAAAAGACUCCACAGUUACUGGUGCCCUCUGAAUACUGGUGGAUAAGAUUUUCGCACUGGAGAUAAUAAUGUACUAUGCAAUUAAAACUUUGCUGCAAGGGUGAGACAUUUCAAGGGCAAUAGAACAAAAAAUAAAUCUGAAGCCGUAUAUUGAAGAGAUGAUUACAUCUGCCUCAUAUAAUUUGAGGCACAUAAGAGUCAUUCUAUCCUUUGCCAAGUACCUGGGGCUCUGACAUUCCCGUCUAAGAGCAGAAUACCAGUAGGCCUCUUUGCACUGCCUUUAGACUGCAGUUUGUGGACAGCAUAGUGACGCUCUAGCCACACAUGGUGGCACCUAUUCUAAAGAUGCGUUAUAAAAUGUUAACUAGUUUGCAGAACCUGCCUAAGGCUUGUUCUGGGGUCCUAUCAUCGUGUUCUCUCCCUUGCAUGCUUUUAUGGGUUUCUACAUAAUUUCCUAAUGCCUAGUGCAGAGAUGUGAACAGCAGACCUUUUCCAGAAGGCAGGUGCAUUUACAGUCAAAUAACUUGAACAGGGAAUAAAGCUUGGUCUCUUAUGCUCCUGUUUCUCAUGUUUAUUAGGGCUGGAUGAAAAUAUUUCCUUUGUGGGCAAAACCAUCAUCUCAUCUGUGCUAAGGGAAAAUACCUAAUUUUUGCCUUGAGAGAACAAA